CUUAACAAACCCUGCACCUCUGCCAUUGUUGGUUUUUUAAGACCUCUUGUCAAACAAAUAGAGAAAAGAUGGCAGAGAGGAGAUCAAGAUUAGCACUUUAUAUGUUGUUAGUGUUGAUGGCAGUUAUGGUGAAGGUAAAGGGAGAUCCAACAUGCAGUCCUGCUGGGAAUUUCUGGUGAAAUAGUGGGCGAUGUUGAAGCAUAUAUGAUUGGUGUGGAAGUACUUCAGAUUACUGUGCAUCUGGCAACUGUCUUGCUCAGUGCUGGCCUAACGCGCUUGCACUUAACCAAUCUAGUUUCACUCGAGGCCAACACAAUCUUACCUCACUCAAUCCAAGCAACCCAUGAAAGCUAUGUAGUUUCCUCGUUGAAGGGGAAUGGAGUUGUAAAAAUUAGAAAUAGUUAAUCGUGUGUAUUAAAUGAUAUUAUAUUAA